UACGUAGGUGGCAAGCGUUGUCCGGAAUUACUGGGCGUAAAGGGCGUGUAGGCGGCUUUUUAAGUCAGACGUGAAAUCCCUGGGCUUAACCCAGGACCUGCGUUUGAAACUGGAAGGCUUGAGGACCGGAGAGGGUAGUGGAAUUCCCAGUGUAGCGGUGAAAUGCGUAGAUAUUGGGAGGAACACCAGUGGCGAAGGCGACUGCCUGGACGGCACCUGACGCUGAGGCGCGAAAGCUAGGGGAGCAAACGGG
rnacentral:rRNA from 1 species